AUACUCUGGUUUCUCUUCAAAUCGUAUAAAUCUUUCGCCUUUUACUAAAGAUUUCCGUGGAGAGGAACAAGUAAGAGUUUAAAAAAAA
rnacentral:snRNA from 1 species